rnacentral:tRNA from 1 species
CCCGCCGUAGUUCAAUGGAUAGAACGGGCGCCUCCUAAGCGCCAGAUACAGGUUCGAUUCCUGUCGGAGGGA